ACGAACGCUGGCGGCGUGCUUAACACAUGCAAGUCGAACGGUGAAGCGCCUUCCUUUUUGGUGGGUGUGGAUGAGUGGCGAACGGGUGAGUAACACGUGAGUAACCUGCCCCCUUCUUCUGGAUAACCGCAUGAAAGUGUGGCUAAUACGGGAUAUUCUGGGUCUGUCGCAUGAUGGGUCUAGGAAAGAUAUUGUUUCGGUGGGGGAUGGGCUCGCGGCCUAUCAGCUUGUUGGUGGGGUGAUGGCCUACCAAGGCGGUGACGGGUAGCCGGCCUGAGAGGGUGGACGGUCACACUGGGACUGAGACACGGCCCAGACUCCUACGGGAGGCAGCAGUGGGGAAUAUUGCACAAUGGGCGCAAGCCUGAUGCAGCGACGCCGCGUGAGGGAUGGAGGCCUUCGGGUUGUGAACCUCUUUCGCCAGUGAAGCAGGCCUGCCUCGUUUGUGGGUGGGUUGACGGUAGCUGGAUAAGAAGCGCCGGCUAACUACGUG
rnacentral:rRNA from 1 species